GACGAACGCUGGCGGCGUGCUUAACACUUGCAAGUCGAACGAAGUGGCGAACGGGUGAGUAACGCGUAAUCCACCUGCCCUUCAGAGGGGGACAAUAGUUGGAAACGUCUGCUAAUCCCGCAUACUGAAGGAGGGGAUUGCGCCUGUUCAGCGAGUUGGAGGGGUAACGGCCCACCGAGGCGAUGGUCAGUAGCCGGACUGAGAGGAUGAGUGGCCAAGUUGGGACUGAGACACGGCCCAGACUCCUACGGGAGGCAGCAGUGGGGAAUCUACCGCAAUGGAAGGAAGUCUGACGGAGCAACGACGCGUGAGUGAUGACGGCCUUCGGGUUGUAAAGCUCUGUUAAGCGGGACGCGGUACCGGAAUAGAAAGCAACGGCUAACUACGUGCCAGCCGCCGCGGUAAUUC
rnacentral:rRNA from 1 species